rnacentral:rRNA from 1 species
GAUGAACGCUGACAGAAUGCUUAACACAUGCAAGUCUUUGGCGAAGCUGUGCUUGCACAGCCUAGCCAAGGCGGACGGGUGAGUAACUCGUAAGGAACUUGCCCUGCAGUCAGGGAUAACAGACGGAAACGACUGAUAAGACCUGGUAAAGUCAGGCGGACUCAUGUCCAGCCUGAUGAAAAGGGAUGCUGCAGGAGAGCCUUGCGUCCUAUUAGCUUGUUGGUGGGGUAACGGCCCACCAAGGCGAUGAUAGGUAGCCGGCCUGAGAGGGUGGACGGCCCCAAGGGGAAUGAGAUACGGCCAUUACUAAUAUGGGAGGCAGCAGUGGGGAAUAUUGGAGACUGGGGGCAACUCUGAUGAAGGACUUCUGUGUGUACGAUGAAGGUUUUCGGAUUGUAAAGUGCUUACAGCAGGGAAGAAAAAAAUGACGGUACCUGCAGAAGAAGCGACGGCUAAAUACGUG